rnacentral:lncRNA from 1 species
CUUUUCUUUAAGAACAAAGGUUGGAGCCCAAGCCUUGCGGCGCGGUGCAGGAAAGUACACGGCGUGUGUUGAGAGAAAAAAAAUACACACACGCAAUGACCCACGAGAAAGGGAAAGGGGAAAACACCAACUACCCGGGCGCUGGGCUUUUUCGACUUUUCCUUUAAAAAGAAAAAAGUUUUUCAAGCUGGUCGCACGUUCGCAGGCGCGGGCUUCCUGUGCGCGGCCGAGCCCGGGCCCAGCGCCGCCUGCAGCCUCGGGAAGGGAGCGGAUAGCGGAGCCCCGAGCCGCCCGCAGAGCAAGCGCGGGGAACCAAGGAGACGCUCCUGGCACUGCAGAUAACUUGUCUGCAUUUCAAGAACAACCUACCAGAGACCUUACCUGUCACCUUGGCUCUCCCACCCAAUGGAGAUGGCUCUAAUGGUGGCACAAACCAGGAAGGGGAAAUCUGUGGUUUAAAUUCUUUAUGCCUCAUCCUCUGAGUGCUGAAGGCUUGCUGUAGGCUGUAUGCUGUUAAUGCUAAUCGUGAUAGGGGUUUUUGCCUCCAACUGACUCCUACAUAUUAGCAUUAACAGUGUAUGAUGCCUGUUACUAGCAUUCACAUGGAACAAAUUGCUGCCGUGGGAGGAUGACAAAGAAGCAUGAGUCACCCUGCUGGAUAAACUUAGACUUCAGGCUUUAUCAUUUUUCAAUCUGUUAAUCAUAAUCUGGUCACUGGGAUGUUCAACCUUAAACUAAGUUUUGAAAGUAAGGUUAUUUAAAAGAUUUAUCAGUAGUAUCCUAAAUGCAAACAUUUUCAUUUAAAUGUCAAGCCCAUGUUUGUUUUUAUCAUUAACAGAAAAUAUAUUCAUGUCAUUCUUAAUUGCAGGUUUUGGCUUGUUCAUUAUAAUGUUCAUAAACACCUUUGAUUCAACUGUUAGAAAUGUGGGCUAAACACAAAUUUCUAUAAUAUUUUUGUAGUUAAAAAUUAGAAGGACUACUAACCUCCAGUUAUAUCAUGGAUUGUCUGGCAACGUUUUUUAAAAGAUUUAGAAACUGGUACUUUCCCCCAGGUAACGAUUUUCUGUUCAGGCAACUUCAGUUUAAAAUUAAUACUUUUAUUUGACUCUUAAAGGGAAACUGAAAGGCUAUGAAGCUGAAUUUUUUUAAUGAAAUAUUUUUAACAGUUAGCAGGGUAAAUAACAUCUGACAGCUAAUGAGAUAUUUUUUCCAUACAAGAUAAAAAGAUUUAAUCAAAAAAUUUCAUAUUUGAAAUGAAGUCCCAAAUCUAGGUUCAAGUUCAAUAGCUUAGCCACAUAAUACGGUUGUGCGAGCAGAGAAUCUACCUUUCCACUUCUAAGCCUGUUUCUUCCUCCAUAUGGGGAUAAUACUUUACAAGGUUGUUGUGAGGCUUAGAUGAGAUAGAGAAUUAUUCCAUAAGAUAAUCAAGUGCUACAUUAAUGUUAUAGUUAGAUUAAUCCAAGAACUAGUCACCCUACUUUAUUAGAGAAGAGAAAAGCUAAUGAUUUGAUUUGCAGAAUAUUUAAGGUUUGGAUUUCUAUGCAGUUUUUCUAAAUAACCAUCACUUACAAAUAUGUAACCAAACGUAAUUGUUAGUAUAUUUAAUGUAAACUUGUUUUAACAACUCUUCUCAACAUUUUGUCCAGGUUAUUCACUGUAACCAAAUAAAUCUCAUGAGUCUUUAGUUGAUUUAAAAUAAUUUUUAUGGCCCAUUUUCUUUUGCAAAGUACAAAUUAUAAUUCCAGAAGCUAUCUGCCAAAAAAAGACAAUGGAAGAAAAUUAUGAGGACACUAAAGGGAACAUUCCUGACUCCUAGGACACAGUAUUCUCAUGUAAGAAUACCCAUUUGGCUUUGCCCCACUUUCUGUUCAAGUUGUAUGUGCUGCCAAGACAAAUUUCUUCUCCUCACUUUCUGUUCAAGUUGUAUGUGCUGCCAACACAAAUUUCUUCUCCUAACACCUGGAAUGAGCUUGUGGCUCCACGGAGCUCCCAUGUAGGUAGAACACAUUCAAGAGUGUUUCUUCAGGCCAGGCACAGUGGCUCACGCCUAUAAUUCCAACACUUUGGGAGGCCAAGGCGGGUGGUUCACUUGAGGUCAGGAGUUCUACACUACCCUGGCCAACAUAGUGAAACCUCGUCUCUACUAAAAAUACAAAAAUUAGCUAGGCAUGGUGGUGCGUGCCUGUAAUCCCAGAUACUCAGGAGGCUGGGGCAGAAGAAUCACUUGAACCCAGGAGGUGGAGUUCACAGUGAACGAAGAUCGUGCCACUGCCCUCCAGCCUGGGUGACAGAGUGAGACUCCAUCUCAAAAAAAAAAAAAAGUGUCUGUUCAAUUCAUUUUAUCUGCCACUGUAUAUCUACAAGAGGACUCCUUGCUUUGAGUCCCAGUUCUUCAAAAUCCUGCUUGCUGCCUAAAGACACAAAGUCAUAGAACAUUAGGACUGGAAUAAACUAUUGUAGUAUAACCUUCCUGCUGUUACAAUAAAAAGCUAUAAACAUUACAAAGGCACUUAAAGAAAAGCUGUGCUGGGAAAUGCCUUAUUUGAAGAGCAUUUGGGUACACUCACAUGAAGCUUUGGAAAGUUACUUAAUCUUCCUCUAAGCCUCAAUUUCUUCAUCAAUAAAAUGAUGAAUAUAUUUCAUAUUUCAUAAGAUGUAGGCUUAAAUGAAAUCAUGCAUGUGAAAAGCACAAUGUCUAUUAUGCAUUAAGUGUUAAACACAAACUUUCAAACUUUUACAUUUCAGUCAUUUAAAUCAAAUGAUCUACCAUAGCAGAUCUCCCCAAAGACACUCUAGCUCCAAACUAACUAUAAUCAAUCCCGUGGUGACGACCCAAAGAACCAGGGUUCCUGGGUUUUCUCUCACGCCCAGCCCACCUAGGCUUCUGACUGCCUAUCUCCUCAUCUUAGAGGGAUUCCUCCUGACCAGUCAUUACAAAAAUUCUUGGAGCAUGAGCAAGACUGAGUCUGUGUUUGGAUUGGAGGAAGGGGUAAGUAACAAGGUAUAUAUAUGUAUAUGUGUGUGUGUGUGUGUGUGUGUGUGUGUGUGUGUGUGCGCGCGCGUUUGUGUUUAAGUUACAAACUAAGGAUGGUUUUAAAAAAUUGCAAAAUGUUAAGAGAUUUAUCUAGGAUCUGACCCACUUCCCCAGAAAUUUACGGAAUUCAAGACCAAGCCUUUCGUAUUCACUGUCAUCAGUUAGAUGGACCCAGUAGCUAAAAAAUUAAGGAGAAAAAAAAUAGAGGAAUAUGAGGGAAAAAGUCAAGUCAGAGGACUGAAGAAUAUAUACAGAACAUAGAAUAUUAGAAAUUUUCUGAAAAUAGAUGAUAGCAAAUACCUCAAGAAAGUGAGGAAACGUGAAAAGGGAGCUUAAAGAAAAAUAAUAGAGUCCAUACAUGGGACACAAGCACAAAAAGCUGACUGAGCAUGUGGUUCUCUACUAAUAAUAACUGGAAAACAGUGAAACCAGCAGGAAAAACUUGCACAUAAGAGUUUAACUUUCCACUUUGGGUUUCAAAUUCUCCCAUAGCAAUAAGAGUAAGUGAAAUAAUGUUCACAUAAGGAUUUUUUUUUUUUCUAUUACUGUAGUGUUUUGUUUUGUUUUGUUUUGGUUUUGGUUUUUGGUGGUUUUUUUUUUUUUGAGACAAAGUCUCGCUCUUGUCCCCCAGUCUGGAGUGCAAUGUCAUGAUCUUGGCUCACUGCAACCUCCGCCUCCCGGGUUCAAGUGAUUCUCCUGCCUCAGCCUCCCAAGUGGCUGGGAUUACAGGUGCGUACCACCACGCCCAGCUAAUUUUUUGUAUUUUAAGCAGAGACGGGGUUUCACCAUGUUGGCCAGGCUGGUCUCGAACUCCUGACCUCAGGUGAUCCAUCCAUCUCAGCCUCCCAAAGUGCUGGGAUUACAGGUGUGAGCCACCGCACCCGGCCUGUUACUGUAGUGUUUUAACAAAUCUAAGUGUAAUAGUAUUAGUCUUCAUUCAUCUAAGACAUACAAGUACUGGAAUUUUUUAGGUGGGUUCCUCAAAUGUCAUCACAGUGGUGUCUUCUCUACAUUCAGUCACUCUUCCGCCCUUCUCUGUAAUGCUCAGGGAUUUCCCAGUUCACUAGCACUUAACAUAGUAUGUCCUUACUUACUUUGGGGUAUAAAUGACUGCAAUAGAAGAAGUGAUAUCCUUGAGGGAUGAAACACGAUCUUGCAUAUUCAUAUCCCUUUCAAAUGUUUACUGACUUAAUCACACCAUUAGUUUUCUAAGUCCAAGUCUAAAAACAGAAAUGAGUUUAAAUACAGUGAACAUUUCAUUUUCACUAUACCACUAAGCUGAAAGAAAUGAUUUUUGGUAAAUAAAAGUUCAUCACAGUGAAAAGUUCUACAUAUAACUGAAGAUCAAAGGAUUCUCACCUGGGAAGCUUGUCAAGAUGCAUGUUCCCAAGCUCCCAGGCUCCCACUCCCAGAGAUUCUAAUACUGUAAUGGAGCUGAGGACACUACAUUUUUAACAGGCUGACCAGGUAGUUCAGAUUCAGGUGGUUCCUAAACCAACUCUGAGGAAGUAGUGGUUUUAUAUACGAUGCUACUGUUGAUGUGGCUACUAGGAAUGGUGCUCAGCAGAAAUCCUGCAACAUAUGGAUCUGUUUACACACUAUUCACUGUGUAAUGAGAGUCUGCAACAUAGGCUAAGUAAUAAGAGAUGUCUUGUGGUUGACCUCUCUGGAGAUAAGCAGCAAUGAAAUUCCAAUGAAGUUUCAUCAUCUCUCAUCACCAAAACCAUCCUAACCACCUCAAUAAAAUACACCUGACUUCCCCCGCUCCCCCGACCCACCACCCCAAAACCAGCUGCCCUAUGUUCUACCAAAAGCUGCAACCAACCAAUGACCUGAUACUAACCCCAAUCUAUCAGCUGCUGCCUAGUGCAACAGAGAGGGAAAGUCAAUGAGAAGGAAUUGGGUGCCAGUUCUUGCUUUGCAAGGAGUGGGUUGACUAAUGAGACAGCCACAAAUGUCACUGCCAUCCCAUCUCACCCUUUCACCUGUGCUGCAAGGCUUCAACAAUCAUACCCAGUCUCCACUUAGGAAAAUUCUGUCCUUUCUCAAAUGCUGGCCACUCAGCAAUGUGCUCCCUUAAUCCAGGCCAAGCACAUAGUAAAAGAACUCCAAAAAGGGUUACAGCCAAAAGUGAUCUUUCUCCUCCAUACUCCCAAAGCAGAUUAUAGCUCCUCCAUAAACGUGCUUCGCAUUGUGCCCCACGUUUGGUUUGUUACUUGUGUAUACAUUAUCGUCUCUUCUAGAUUGAGCUUCUGUAGGAAAGGAGAAUCCUUUUCAAUUUUUUGGUAUUACACCCAGCUCAGGACCUUGCUCAGUUGCUUAAAUUGAAUGAGAAAAUGUAUCUAAGUACCCACUGAUGUUGGAAAUUCAACUUGUUCCAAUAUUGAGGACUGCCUAUACCUGGCAUAUGCGUGUCCCAAUUUGAGAAAUUGUUUUUCAAGUUGACUUGUAUGGAUUCCUUACAGACGCUCAAGCAUCAGUUUGGUUUUCCCUAAAUCCUGCAGAUCAGGAAGGCAGUAUCCAUGUUUGCUUUAAGAAAUUUCAUUACUAUAAAUAUAUGAAAUAUUAUAAAUAUAAAAAUUCAUAUAUUAUAAAUAUAUGAAAUUUUGUCUGCAGAAUUUUUUUCUCAACAGGCAAUCCUGACAUAAUAACCAAUUUUGAGAUGCUUCAAAAAUAACACUGCAGUAGUAGCCACUCCUAAAACAAAAUAUUUCCCCUUUCCUUCAAUAUAUGUAAUCACAUAUGACAUAUAAAAUCUGCUUAUUGGAUAAAUUUAUCUUUAAAAGACUAUCUAUAUUUAUUAAAAGUUAAAAUACAUAUACUCUUUGACCUGGAAUCAAGUACAACAAUGUAUUUUACAGAGCUACCAGCACACGUGUGGAAUUAUAUAUGUACAAGGCUACUAACUGAAGUAUUAGUAUAGUAACAAAAAUUAAAAAUCAACCAUAAAUAGGGAAUAAAUAAUGGUACACCUAUGAAUGAAAUACUAACUUCUAAAACACAAAGUAAAAAGAAAGGGAAAAUAAGGAAAACUGGAUUAAUCCAACAUAUGACAGGAAAGGAGAAAAAAAUAAUGCAAAGAAAUGAUAAUCACAGUAAAGUGAAUACAAAUUAAAAUUUAUCUACUAAAAGACAGUAAUUCAAAGACUAGAUUUAAAAGGAAAAUAAGUUUUAUGCUAUUUACAAAAGACAGACUUAAAACCUAACAACAUAAAAAUGCUGAAAGUAAUAUACCAGGUAAACACUAAAAAAAAAAAAAAAAAAAAAAAAAACUAGUAUUAACAAUAGAACCUGAUUUUCUAAAAAAUAGAUUAAGAAAACUAGAUUAAAGGAGAAAAUCAUUAUUACCGAGAUAGAGAGGAUCAUUACUUAAAUGAUAAAAAGAAGCAAUUUAUCAGCACGUUUAAAAAUCCCAAAACAGAAUACACAGUGCUAACAAAAUCAUCUUAAAAUAAAAUAAGCAAAUGCUGAUUUAGCCAUAGGAGAAACCGCCAAAUCCACAAUCAUUUUAGGAGAAUGGGUUUAAGAAAGGAAAAAAAAAAAAAAGAUUUCUGUAUGCUCUUAAGAGAAAAUCUAAAAAAUAAUGACAUGAAAAAGUUGAAAGGAAUGGAAAAAUAUGUACCAUUAAAAGGAAACCCGACGUAUGAAUGCCAUUAUCAGACAAAACAGAUUUUUUUCUUUUUGAGAUGGAGUCUCACUCUGUGGCCCAGGCUGGAGUGCAGUGGCACAAUCUCUGCUCACAGCAAGCUCCGCCUCCCAGGUUCAUGCCAUUCUCCUGCCUCAGCCUCCCAAGUAGCUGGGACUACAGGCACCCACCACCACACCAGGCUAGUAUUUGUAUUUUUAGUAGAGACGGGGUUUCAUCGUGUUAGCCAGGAUGGUCUCAAUCUUCUGACCUCGUGAUCUGCCCACCUCAGCCUCCCAAAGUGCUGGGAUUACAGGCAUGAGCCACCGCGCCCAGCCAGACAAAACAGAUUUUAAGACAACUAAGAAGUUAACAAGCUGACCCUACAAUAAGCAUGAAAAUUUUGAAAAAGAAUAGGAAAGGAGAACUCACCAUAAGAGAAAUUGAAACUUGUUAUAAAGCUAUAGUUGUUAAAACGGUGUUACUACAGUGGUACAUGGACAGAUAAAUGGACCAAUGAAGCAGACCCAGGCACUGAAAGGAACCUUUUAUAUGACAGCAUGGCACAAUCAGUAAGAAUAGAGAGGAAAUAGGCCAGGCACGGUGGCUCACGCCUGUAAUCCCAGUACUUUGGGAGGCCAAGGCAGGCAGAUCACCUGAGGUCAGGAGUUCGAGACCAGCCUGGUCAACAUGGUGAAACCGCGUCUCUACUAAAAAUACAAAAAUUAGCUGGUCGUGGUGGCAGGCACCUGUAAUCCCAGCUACUCGGGAGGCUGAGGCAGGAGAAUCACUUGAACCCGGCUAGCGGAGGCUGCAGUGAGCCGAGAUCACGCCAUUGCACUCCAGCCUAGGCAACAAGAGUGAAACUCCAUCACAAAAAAAAAAGAAAAAGAGUAGACAGGAAAUAAAUGGUCCAGAAUAACUGCCUAUCCUUGUGGAGGAGAGGGUGAUUCAAAAUUAGGUCCCUUUCCUCACUCUAUAUGCAAAAAACAAACUUCAAAUAAAUUAUACAAUUAAAUGUGAAAAUCAAGACUUUAAAAUAAACAAUGCAGUAGGCUGCUUUAUAAUAUCAAGUUAGGGAAGGCUUUCUUAAAUUUCAUAAACAUAAAUCAUAGAGGAAAAGAUGAACUGUCUACCUUAAAAUUAAAGACGAUAUAAACAAAAUUAAAAGGUAAGCCAGACAAAAGAAAUAUUUGUAGUGACAACGGUUUAACUUUCUUUCUUUCUUUUUUUUUUUUUGAGACGGAAUCUCACUCUGUCACCCAGGCUGGAGUACACUGGUGCAAUCUCAGCUCACUGCAACCUCCACCUCCCAGGUUCAAGCGAUUCUUGUGCCUCAGCCUCCCAAGUAGCUGGGAUGACAGGUACGCACCACCACACCCAGCUAAUUUUUUGUAUUUUUAGCAGAGACGGGGUUUCACCAUGUUGGCCAGGCUGGUCUCGAAUUCCUGACCUCAGGUGAUCCAUCUGCCUCAGCCUCCCAAAGUGCUGGGAUUACAGGAGUGAGCCACUGCACCUGGCCCACAAGGGUUUCACUUUCUAAAAAUAUAAAGAACUGGCCAGGUGCAAUGGCUCACACUUGUAAUCCUAGCACUUUGGGAGGGCAAGGAGAGCAGAUCGCUAGAGGCCAGAAGCUGGAGAACAGCCUGGCCAACAUGGUGAAACCCCAUCUCUACUUUAAAAAUAUAAAAAUUAGUUGGGUGUGGUGGCACUUGCCUAUAAUCCCAGCUACUUGGCUACUCAGGAGGCCGAGGCAGGGGAAUCGCUUGAAUCCAGUAGGCAGAGGCUACAGUGAGCCAAGAUCAUGCCACUGCACUACAGCUUGGGCAACAGAGUGAGACUUGGUCUCAAAAAAAAAAAAAAUUAUAUAUAUAUAUCUUAUAUAUAUACACUAUUAUAUAUAUACACACACACACACACACACACACACACACACACACACACAAUUAAUAUGAGAUGCCCAAAAAUCCAAUUGUAAAAAGGGGCAAAGGUUGUAAACUGGUAAUUCAUAAAAACAAAUGAAGAGAUGCUUAUUGGUACUAUAUGCUCAGUAUUAAGCAAAUUAAAUGAGAUAGGAUCGUGCAUAUUCAACCAACAAAAUAUCUGAAUGUCUGAAAAUAAUAAAUGUUAAUGAGGGAGUGGAGAAAAUGGGAAUGCUCAUACUGCUGAUAGAGAGUAAACUGGUACAACUAUUGUGGCAGCCAAUUAAUAUUUAGUAAAGCUGAAGAUGCAUGGUCCACUGUGGUACAGGCCCUGGAGAUAUUAUCAAAUGUGUACACAAAGAAACACGCACAAGGAUAUUUUCUGCGAUACUGUAAUACUCAAAAGCCAAUGACAUCCUCAGUGGUCAUCAAUAAGAAAAUGAAUUAAUGAUGGGAUUAAUCAUAUAAUGAAAUACUAUAUAGCAGUUGAAAUGAAUGUACUCUUUACAUGUAUCAACAUGCUAUACAUAAAAAACAAUGAUGAGCAAUAAAAGCAAAUUGCAAAAGGAUAUAUAUUAUGAAACCAAUUAUGUUUAGUUUUAAAACACAGAGAAUACUAUGGAUUGUAGUAAAAAAAAAUAUAAAAUCAUGAAGAGUAAGGACAGGUACAAACAGGAUAGUGGUUCUUC